CCUACGGGAGGCUGCAGUGGGGGAUAUUGCACAAUGGGGGGAACCCUGAUGCAGCGACGCCGCGUGGGUGAAGAAGCGCCUCGGCGCGUAAAGCCCUGUCAGCGGGGAAGAAAAUGACGGUACCUGAAGAAGAAGCCCCGGCUAACUACGUGCCAGCAGCCGCGGUCAUACGUAGGGGGCAAGCGUUAUCCGGAUUGACUGGGUGUAAAGGGAGCGCAGACGGCGAUGCAAGCCAGGCGUGAAAGCCCGGGGCGCAACCCCGGGGCUGCUCUUGGAACUGCGUGGCUGGAGUGCAGGUGGGGCAGGCGGAAUUCCUGGGGUAGCGGUGAAAUGCGUAGAUAUCAGGAGGAACACCGGUGGCGAAGGCGGCCUGCUGGACUGCAACUGACGUUGAGGCCCGAAAGCGUGGGGAGCAAACAGGAUUAGAUACCCCGAGUAGUC
rnacentral:rRNA from 1 species